ACCAACAUAUUUAAAUUUAAUCUUAAUCAUUAUCAAUUCAAGAAAUUUUAAUUUCUAAAACCGCCAUAAAAUCAGAAAAGUCUCCUUGGACAAGAUAUUAGCUAUUAGGUGCUAUUUAAAAUGAAAUAAAUUAUUCAAACAUAUUGCAGCAUCUACUUAUAAAAUAAUCUUAAAUUUAUAAGUUAUUAAUUAUAAUAUUAAUUUUAGUCUAGUACAACGUCAAAUAUUAUUUCUUCUUUACCCAAUGUUAUAUUUAAAUAUAUAUUACCUAAUUAAAUAACUUUUAAUAAUAUUUUCACCUAAACUUUCAUUAAUAAUUAUAAAAAAAUAUUACUAAUUUCGAGAUUUUAUA
rnacentral:rRNA from 1 species